rnacentral:rRNA from 1 species
UACGUAGGGUGCAAGCGUUGUCCGGAAUUAUUGGGCGUAAAGAGCUCGUAGGCGGUCUGUCGCGUCGGAAGUGAAAACCUGGGGCUUAACCCCGGGCCUGCUUUCGAUACGGGCAGACUAGAGUUCGGCAGGGGAGACUGGAAUUCCUGGUGUAGCGGUGAAAUGACGCAGAUAUCAGGAGGAACACCGGUGGCGAAGGCGGGUCUCUGGGCCGAUACUGACGCUGAGGAGCGAAAGCGUGGGGAGCGAACAGG